AGGACGGCUUGUGGUGAGAGGAACGCUGGCUCACCCGCCAGCCCACCUCCAGGAGAUACAGCACACUACACAGUAGUCUCUCCCUCCGUUAGUUCUGGCUCCAGGGAGGCGACUUUCCACUCAAGGCAUCCUCCACGGAAAAACACUUUUUCCCUGUCACUGAAGGAAGAAAAGCAAGCGGCUGUUGUGAGUGCAGGGGUGGGGAGGGGAGGGGCUGGCAAUAACUCUUUGCAGUCAUCCACACCCUCGCCAGUUGGUGGUUACCAGGCUCCCAGACACUUCUUACUGCCAGACAAAUGCCCCAAGCCUCGGCAUGUCUGGCUCGAAGAUCUAUUCAACUGAUAGCCCCCGCCUUUCCUAGGGAGAGCCCCACGCUACCCGGCUAAUCAAACAAAACAUUGUUCUCAGAAGGCAGGAAGAAGGGAAAGGCUUGUCUCUGGGCCACGACGUUUGGGGGUUUAUUUAAUACACACACACACACACACACACACACACACACACACACACACACACACCCUCCCAAUUAAUCCUGGGCUUCCCGAGACGAGGUUGUUUUGCACAGAGCGUGCACUGUAUAAAAAUUCCAGGAGGGGAGGAAUCAGAAAGUUGAGAGUCAUUAAAAGAAAGAGAAAGAAAGAAAGAAAAGAAAAAAGCCCCAGGCACUUGAUGCCUGGAAAUGAUGUAAGACGCAGCCACUCCUCCGUUAGAACCGAACGGCUCUCAGAUCCACCGCAGCUGCUCUCCAAAUGUCAGCGCCAGCGCCAGGGCAAAGCUUGAAACCCACCAUGCUCAAGGAGGCCCUUUCUCGUCCACAUUUUCCCCCAGCACGCUUAGCAACCUGGCAACAGGUAACGUGGCAACCUUUGACUUCUAAAGCGGCGGGCGGGAUAAUUUCAGGGAACCGAUGGAUUGUUUCCGAGCCAGCUGCACCCUCUCCUCCCGCCCCCGCACCCGACCUCCUCCCUUCCAAUCCAAAGUCUGAGAAAACAAAUUUUAAAGUGUGCUGCGGGCUACCCUGCUCUUGGGCGCCCCCGGUGACCAACGUCGGAACUACAGGCACGUGCUCGGCGCUCUCCCUGGGUAAGUGGCUUGCGUUGUGGAAAUGGGCAGUUGACCCUGCGGACUUGUUUCCGGUAAAGAGCUGGAAGCCACCUAGAAUGUCUUCAUCUUCGUUGUUGUUUUCGAGACCGGGUUUCUGUGUGUGGCUUUGGCUGUCCUGGAACUCACUGUGUGGCCCACUUGUGUCCUGCAACUCAGCCUUAGCUCCUGAGUGCUGGGGCAAAAGGGGUGAACCAUAAACCACCACGCCCUGCUCCAAAACCUCUUCAUUUUUAUCUAAGCACAUUGACAAUUUCCUGGCGAGCAUGGGCGUGCAUGGCAGGUGGCACAGGCCUGUCAUUCCCUCCUCCUGAGGCAGAUGAUGGAGGAGGAUCAGGGUUCAAGACCCGGUCAGACUCUCAUCUUGAGAAAGCAUCAACGAAAUUGGAUUCCUGUUGUGUGGCAACUCCCAUUUCCCCGUUUGUCUUAAGGUGUAUUCCGCAUGUGACACCUUUUGGGCCUACAGUUUUCCCUCCCCACCUCCCCCAAUCAGCCCUGCUGGGUUCCUAUCGGCAUGGAUUACUGAAGAUUUCCACACUGCCAGACCAGCUUCCCAGACUGCAGCCUCCAAGCCCCAGCUACACCCAGGAAAACGCCAGCGGCAGUGUUUUUAGGCUGUCUGAUUCUCUCAGACACUGCCUCAUCUCUUCCUCUGUGGGGCAGGAAUGGAGGCCCACACUAACCGGAGGACCUGGUACUCCUCGGUUCUGCAUCUGGAAACGGCCAGAUUGAGAGAAGGACGUUCAUUCACCAAGGAGGUAUGAAGCACGCAGCCGGGCAUGCUUGUCUGUCGCACGCACGGAUGACACUGCAGUUCUUAGAGCAGGACACAGACAAGACUGCCUCAAUAAACCCGGCUCAGAAACACCCUUUGUUCAAAAUCUUCCAUUAACAACAGGCUACCAUCACCCGAAGACUUUGCAAAAGAAAAGAUUUGGUUGGAGGAAGCCUGGGGCUGGGGAAGCUGAAAAGGCAGGAAACUGUCCUUUGAUCCUGGCUGUCCAAGAGUGCAUGCACACAGAAUGAAGUUAAUGGCAUUUCCGUAUCAUUUUUCCUAAGAGAUGCCUGGGAGAGCCCCAAACCAGUGGUGGUGAACUCUAAAUUUGAUGUCAGCUCUACACAGAAACUUCUGUCCACGGGACGGGACUGCCAAACAAAGAGACAGUUGCUCUGCCCAAUUUACCUGUUCUCAGCCCUGCGAAACCUGACACCGCCGCAGCAGAACACAGCUGAGUCUGUAAGAGCUUUGUUCUGAAAAGUCAGUCCUCAAACCUGCACCUGUCUGCAGAGUUCCUGAUCAGCUCCAUUGUUUUGGCCCCUCAUCCCACUAAACCUUGAAAGUUCCUGUAAUUAUAUAGUGCUGUUGUUUGGAUACACCUUAAAUUCCGUUUGGGUUUGCCAAAAAAAAAAAAAAAGAAAAGAAAAAAGGUGGGAUUUUAAAAACAAACAGAAACAAAUCAUCUUUACCCUCCUAAGGGAUCUUCCCGUUAACAUGUCUAGCCCCAGAUCCGUGGCAUUUGUGUAUUCUGGCCAUUCUCUUUUGGAUCCUCCUGACUCUUAGGUCAUUCUGGAACCAUUCUGUGUCUUACCCGGCCCUUUCCCGGUCUCUAGAUCUUUCUGUUUAUUAACCCGCCUUGGGAGUGUCACAGCCAUUUCCUCAGGUCUCUACAGCUCCAGGUUGUGAUUUAUUAAUGAGUCAUGAGAUCAACGGGAGGUGAGUCAUGCAGUUUCACUAUUCAGAGAGGGAAAAGGUCUAAACAGAAAUUGCCAGAAUGCCCUCACAGGUUAGGAAAUGUAUUGUUGCGUGAAGCGUGUUUGUCCGGAUCUGUGUACAAAGUAGGCAACAGGUCAGGUGCUUUUGUUUGUCAAAACUAUUUUAUAACUGGUCACCCUGCAGGUCUCAUCAUCCCUGCUUCCAAACUGUUGUAUAUACUUAGAGCCACGGUGAAAACGUGGGCAUGUAUAGCCUGUCACCGAGGCUUACGAGUGUUCCCGGGAGGAAGGUGUCCCAUCUGGAGCUGAGGAAACUCUGCUAGCCCUUCAGGUCCCUCUUUCUGACCCCGUCAAACUUUUUAGUUGUUCAGGUGGUCAAGUUUCCUCACUUUGCCCUGGGAUUCCAACUGUGGGAGACCCUUCCUUUUCUUUCCUGGCCCAGGGACCAGCGUAGGUGUCACCCCCUACUGGAGGACAUCUAUCUGCACUGUCCUUCCAAAUAACCUCUCCUCCAUUGCUCUUCUGGCUUGACAGGGCACUUACUGUAUUCUGUUGUCUUUUUAGUCCCUUCUGGAUUCAUGCCCCCCCCAAGAAGGCAUUCUGUUAGCAGAUGUGUGGCCUGGAUGGUUGCCUAGGUGACUGGUUCACUCUCCAUCCCACCCUAAUCUUGGUUUUCCUCUGUUGAGAAGAUGUCUUUUUUAUUUAUUUAUUUUGGUUUUUCGAGACAGGGUUUCUCUGUAUUGUUUUGGAGGCUGUCCUGGAACUCGCUCUGUAGACCAGGCUGGCCUUGAACUCACAGAAAUCCUCCUGCCUCUGCCUCCCAAGUGUUGGGAUUAAAGGCAUGCACCACCAAUGCCCAGCCGAGAAGAUGUCUUGAUGCCAGAAGUCCCUCCUCCUUCGGGUUGACAGACAUGGUGGCUGCAGGCAGAUGCAGGUUCAGAGCUGUCUCUGUCACACAGCAAGAUGUCCACGUGGGAGUAAACUCAAGACCAGUCGAAACCAGCUGGGACCAGCAUGCUUCAAAGCUACUUUGUUUCAUCUGGAGUACAUGGGCCAGGACUGCGAGAAGAUGCGAAAGACUUGCUCACAAGCUGAGUUUGUAAUAGCACGUGAGGAGUGGGGGCCGUAAGAUCAGUUCAGGACCAACCUGGGCUACUGCAUGGUGGUGAAAUUGAGGCCAACCUGGUCUCAGAGGACUGAGAGGUGAGGAGACCUUCCCAAGGCCAAACAGCUGCUUAGGAGUGGGAAAUUAACACUGUGUAGGUUUUAAAUUAAUUCAGGAAUGCUGAAGAUUAUGUCCAGGGCAUGGGGCAUGCUAGGCAAGGACUGGAUCUAUAGCUGGUGGGAAAAGCACUUGUGUGACAUGUGUGUGUGUGGGGGGUCCUGGAACCCAUGGUGGGAGCAGACAACAAACCCCCCAAAGCCAUCCUCUGACUUCCACAUGCUCACUGCAGCCUUCUAACAAUAAACAAUGCAAUAAAACCUUAA